ACGCAAGCAACCGCAUUAGAAGAAUAUCCCAAUCGCUAAUAAAAAGUAAUUCAAAUUAGAAGAAAAAAAGAAGAAGAAACUAGUCGUUGGGGCUCACAAAUUCAAAUGGUAUAUAUAUUGGGUCACAACACAAGUUGUCCAUUUUUCUUCACAAAAGACAAACAAAUCUCUUCUUCUUCCUCCUCAAUUCUCUCUAUUUCUCUCUCUAAACGUUCCUCCCUCUUUCUCUCUCUCAAUGCUCCUCUCUCUCUCUCUCUCUUUCUCUGAUUCUGUUUGAAAAGCUUGCUGUGCAUAGAUCUGCAUGUACUUAUCUUGAGAAUUCCAAAGGUGCUGUGGUCGAGAAGUUGGUAGAAGAAACAACAACCAAUGAUUAGCAUUUGAGGCAUCUUAUAAAGUAUGUGUGACUAGUGAAGAACUGUAUCUUUGCGUUGGCCUUUCUAUAAUCACCCAUGAUUUUUAGAAUUUUAUAGACCUUGCUGGAAGUGAAAGAGCUUCACAGACACAUGCAGAUGGGGCGAGGCUCAGAGAAGGCGAUCAUAUCAAUCUUAGUUUGAUAACUCUCACAACUGUGAUAAGAAAGCUCAGUUCGAACUUGAAUAUUAGCAUAGUUUUUGAUUGUCAAGUUUUAUCUCAUAUCUUGCUUUUUUCUCCAACUUUUACGUGUAGAAUAUAUCCUUCGUCAUACUGAUACUUGCAUGUUAUAAUGGAUUCUAAGAUAACACCUAAGCAAGUUCCAUAAGUACUUGUCCGAUUCCUGUUGACUACAUACUGAAUUUCUUUUUUACUUGCAGUGUUGCGAAAAGAAGCGGUCAUAUACCUUACGGGGACUCCAGCUUCCCGGCAAGUUUUGGAAAAUGAGAUUGAAAACAGAGCACCAGAAAAUGAAGACUUCAUUUCAUAUCCGGUGAGACCCAGCCAGAGUCUGUGAAAGAGACUUCUAUAAUAUGUGGAGACGUUUCAUCAAAGGAAGGAACUCCAGGCUAUCGUCAUUCUAUUUCAGCUCGAGCAAUGAGACGUGAAAGAGAGUUUCUCGCAAAGAGGUUGACUUCACGUUUAAAUGAAAGUGCUGAGAUAGUAGUAAAGCUUGUAGGAUUAUGUGAGAAUUCCAUUUGAGCUAAAUUUUGCACUACCAAUGAUAA